UAUAUCAGACGUUCUCACCAAUCGUUUCUCCUCCCUGCAGAACCAUUUUUGAGUUGCUACAAAUUGUGGGAGUGUAAAUGAAAACUUUUAGCGUUGUAUUUGAGUGAAGGUCGAUUCCAAAACCCCAGACAAACUAAAUAAGAUCAAAGGUGAGGUUUUUCUGGAAAAAAAUCUAAGUUUUACUUCAGCAUUUACGAAAUCCAUCCUGAUAUUAGGUUAUGAAUCAGAUGCAGUUGAACAAGCUUUAUUAACAGGUACGGAUUCUACCUAUUAGAUAGAGUCAUUGAUGCUUUUUUGAUCGAACUUGCAAUAAGUUUCACUGGCGAGUUUUGGAAAAAGUGGAUGUACAAUUAAGUAUCAAUUACAUCUAAUAAACCAAGUGACUUACCAAUGAUAUCAAGGAAAUCAUUUUUCUGAUUUAACUUUUGUUUUGGUGAAAUUCGGGUUAAUUGAGAAAUAAAUUGGAUUGUAUCUUAUAUUGGCUAGGGUUAAUCUCUUCUCCGUAAGUAAAAAAUUGAAAUUGGUAAUAUGUAAUUUAAAUUUUGUGUCCAGAUGAUAAAUAUUUUUUUUUUGAAGGGUGAUGAGAUUCAUUGAUGUUGAUAUCCAGAGUCUUAACUCGAGUCCUUUACUUUUCCCAUCUUCACAGGAUUACACUAUCUUUAAGGUACUGCAUUUUGAUUCUAAAUUUUGUGUAGAGUUGUCAACUAAGCCUGAUUGGAUAUGUAUCUAUUAAAGAAUUUUAGAUAACAAAAGUGAAUGUUCUUGGAUUUACACGAGUAAAAUUGCAUGGGAUCGUUUUGUUAGAACACAAAAAAAACAAAAGUUCAUUGGGGUUUAGACACCGUAUGUUUCUAGAUGACUUACUGUUAAUGUACUACAUUGUUAAUUUGAUUGUUAAUACAAAUGUGGAUAUCAGUGUAGUUUCAUUGAUUGAUCUUGGGUUUGGAAAUCUGAAAAGAGAUUUGGAAUCAAGAAUUUUAUGAUGGUUAUAUCAGUUUAUGGUAUGGCACUAUUAUAUUUUUGUUUAUUUUGUCUAUUUGUUUUGAUUUGCUCUGUCAAAUUUCUUGCCUCUUGAUUUUGUCAGUUUUAGGUCGAUCACAGUUUGAAACUUCUGACAUUGAUGAGAAAUAACAAUUUGAGGAUCCUCAAUUUCAGGAUCACACAAAGGAAACACAAGUAAAUGUAUAUCUUGUGUGGUUCUAAACAUGAGAGAGAAUGGCCAUUUACCGAUUUGUAUGCACCACAACUUGAUGCGAGAUACAAUAUGUAUUGAGACUAAAAUUCUCGGAAUAUUGGAAAGCAUAAUCAUGAAGUUGUUCUCUCUGCAGCUCCUGGUGGGAAGAAAGGUUAUUCUUUCUUGCACUAGCUCACUUAUUUCUUUCUCUUCUAACAGGUUUAAUAUUUUUCAUAUAAUUUUCCUAACUCAUUUACUGAUCUUAACAUUGCCUUAUCAUUCGAACCUUUGUACCCUUCAGUGUCCUGGUGGAUAACCGAGUACGUUAACUCACCAUUUAGUAUAUCCGUGAAGAUUCUCUAUCACUCUCAUUUUGUUCGUAUAUCUAUUACAUCUGCACAUUCAAUUCAUACCGUCAUCAUAUAAUAUUCCUAUGUUAGGGGUACCAAAUUGAAGAUUUCUCUUCGGAGUUCUUCUGCAAAUCAGGAAGGAAAUGAUACUAUUAGUGCAGAUUCCAACCCUGAGACAGUUGAUACGUUUCUUUAUCUUUACUUUACUGAUUUGCGCACAUAGGACAAUACUGGGAGAAAAUGAAUUCGAAAUGCAUGAUCACGUUGGUUCCCAGCUCAAGAAGGUACAAGUUAAUGCUAAACCUUUUGAUGAUACUAUCAUUUAAACUAAACUAUUGCUUGAUUGCGUGCGCACAGUCUAUAGAGACAGGGAGAGGAUAGUGUUGCGCGGUACAACAGGUUGCAAAGGGGAAUUCUAAUAAUAACUUUUUAUAGAUAGGAGGAACUAACGCACUAUGAAGAAGUAAAGUGUUGCAUGAGGUGUAUGACGAUGUUCAGGAGCUUGAUAUAUUGGUGGAGCUUUUGGCCGAGAAAAAAAUCAAUGGUUUUUCCAUCAAUGAGACAACUUUCUUCACAUUCGCUAUCACGUUAUCAAGGAUGGAUCACCAGGAGUGUGUAAUUCUUUAGUUUCAGCGUAUCGCCCACCUUCAUCUACAGUUGGUUGUGCGGUGGUGCUUCUGGCCCAGAACACCACUUCUUCAGGCAUCGAUGUUCAUAGGUAACUUCAAGGAGGAUCGAAAUGGAACAGUAUUGGUGUAACUGCUACGAAGGUACCACAUAUCCUUUAACUUCGAUCAAUGUCAAGGAAAAUCACAACCUUAGCUACUACAUGGACCAUACAGACUUCAGGUCAACAAUUUUCAUACUCAUAGAUUUAACUAUUUACACUUUACAUGUUUGGGAAUGGUAUCAUCGAUAGUUGAAAUUACACUCACAAAAAGGGGAUCAAAGAACACAUAUUCUGAAGAAACACAUAAUUUGACGAUUUUGAUUUUAUCCAAAAUCAUGUAUUAGUUACAUGGAAAUGGUCUUGUGUAUUCGAGUGUAAAUGCGAAGGAUCUCAUUUCUCACUUUCCAUAUACCAUUGUAAAUUGACAUGUAAUUUUACUACCAUCAAAUUUUGUAUGAUUUGUUGAUAUAAAAUU